GACGAACCGUGCGAACGUUAUUCGGAAUCACUGGGCUUAAAGCGCGUGUAGGUGGCUUGGCACGUCUCUCGCUGAAAUCCCCUGGCUCAACCAGGGAAGUGGCGGGGAUACGACCAAGCUCGAGGGGGGUAGGGGGGACGGGAACUCACGGUGGAGCGGUGAAAUGCGUUGAGAUCGUGAGGAACGCCCGUGGCGAAAGCGCGUCCCCUGGACCCCACCUGACACUGAGACGCGAAAGCCAGGGGAGCGAACGGG
rnacentral:rRNA from 1 species